ensembl:lncRNA
CAAUCUGGUAUUGAUAUUUGAAAUGGCAGUAGAGACACAAACCUGGAAUUGAUAUGUGACAUCACAGCAGAGACGCGAGUCUGGAAUUAAUUGUUGACAUCACAGCAGAGACGCGAGUCUGGUAUUGAUAUUUGACAUCACAGCAGAGAGACAAGUCUGGUAUUGAUAUUUGACAUCACAGCAGAGAGGUGUGUCUGGUAUUGAUAUUUGACAUCACAGCAGAGUGACGAGUCUUGUAUUGAUAUUUGACAUCACGUCAGAGACACGCCCUGUGCUCGGCGAUAGCUCAUACUUCACGUCAGACACACCCCGUGUGAGUGGCGAUUGCUGAUAAGUCACAUCACAGUCACGCCCUGACAUUGGCGAUCUCUAAUAAGUCACGUCACAGACACGCCCGGCGAGCAGCGAUUGCUGAUGAGUCACGUCAGAGACACGCCCUGUGAUCGGCGAUCACUCAUACUUCACGUCAGACACACCCCGUGUGAGUGGCGAUUGCUGAUAAGUUAUGUCACAGACACGCCCAACUAUUGGCGAUUGCUCAUACGUCACAUAACAAACACGGCCUGCGAGUGGCGAUUGCUGAUAAGUCACAAAACAGUCACGCUCUGACACUGGCGAUCGCUAAUACGUCACGUCAUGGAAACGCCGGGCGAGCCGCGAUUGCUGAUAAGUCACAAAACAGUCACGCCCUGACAUUGGCGAUCGCUAAUACGUCACGUCACAGACACGCCCGGCGAGCGGCGAUUGCUGAUAAGUCACAAAACAGUCACGCCCUGACAUUGGCGAUAGCUAAUACGCCACGUUACAGACACGCCCGGCGAGCGGCGAUUGCUGAUAAGUCACGUCAGAGACACGCCCUGUGAUCGGCGAUCACUCAUACUUCACGUCAGACACACCCCGUGUGAGUGGCGAUUGCUGAUAAGUUAUGUCACAGACACGCCCAACUAUUGGCGAUUGCUCAUACGUCACAUAACAAACACGGCCUGCAAGUGGCGAUUACUGAUAAGUCACAAAACAGUCACGCCCUGACAUUGACGAUCUCUAAUAAGUCACGUCACAGACACGCCCGGUGAGCGCCGAUUGCUGAUAAGUUAUGUCACAGACACGCCCAAUUAUUGGCAAUUGCUCAUACGUCACAUAACAAACACGCCCGGCGAGCGGCGAUUGCUGAUAAGUUAUGUCACAGUCACGCCCUGUGAUCGGCGAUCACUCAUACUUCACGUCAGACACACCCCGUGUGAGCUAUUUGAAAUCACAGCCGAGAGGCGAAUCUGGCAUUGAUAUUUGACAUCGGGUUUCACAACGCUUUCUUUCCAAUCUCCUUGUGUUUCAGGUCUUGGAUCUGUUCCUGGGCUCCUGCACUCUGAUAUCCAUCUCACCCGCUUGUAAGUAUCCAUCACAGC